rnacentral:rRNA from 1 species
GAUGAACGCUAGCGACAGGCUUAACACAUGCAAGUCGAGGGGCAGCAUGAUUUGUAGCAAUACAGAUUGAUGGCGACCGGCGCACGGGUGAGUAACGCGUAUGCAACUUACCUAUCAGAGGGGGAUAGCCCGGCGAAAGUCGGAUUAAUACCCCAUAAAACAGGGGUCCCGCAUGGGAAUAUUUGUUAAAGAUUCAUCGCUGAUAGAUAGGCAUGCGUUCCAUUAGGCAGUUGGUGGGGUAACGGCCCACCAAACCGACGAUGGAUAGGGGUUCUGAGAGGAAGGUCCCCCACAUUGGUACUGAGACACGGACCAAACUCCUACGGGAGGCAGCAGUGAGGAAUAUUGGUCAAUGGCCGAGAGGCUGAACCAGCCAAGUCGCGUGAAGGAAGAAGGAUCUAUGGUUUGUAAACUCUUUUAUAGGGGAAUAAAGUGGAGGACGUGUCCUUUUUGUAUGUACCCUAUGAAUAAGCAUCGGCUAACUCCGUGCCAGCAGCC